rnacentral:lncRNA from 1 species
AAAUUAUCUUUAUUAUUUCAUUUUCUAUUAUUUUUAAUUUUCCCCCCAAUUUCUUAAAGUGGAAGCUAAAAUAAUUUAACUUAUACUUUUUCUUUUCUUAUAUUUUUAUUCCUUAUAUUAAGAAUGCAAUGCUAUAAUUUUCCUCUCUAAAGCACUACUUUAACUGCAUUCAAUGCCUUUUGAUAUAUAUUUUUAUUUUUAUUCACUUCAAAAUACGCCUGUUUCCUUUACCAUUACUUCUUUGACCCAUGAGUCAAAAUGUAUACUUAAUUUCAAAAGAAGUGUGUUACUUAAUUU